UUAUCGUUUCUAGGUUUUAAUUCUGCGAGAGAUUUUGGCGGGAAACCUGGUGCUGCGGAAGGUAGGACAGUCAGGACAUUGCUGUUGAGAACACAACGUACAGCACCGCAAAAAUGUGAUUUCCUUUCCGUAAGAACCUACCGCCAGUAUCUUCAGUGAUUAAGUAACAAUAUAACGAGCUGCGUGACGAUUACGUAUCAGGCCCGGGGGAAUUGUGAAACGCACCAUCAGGGGAAACACUUGAGGCGGACAAAUUGCUUAUCGACGCAAGCCGCGCCCGCGAUUCAGACCACGUGUAUGCUCCAGCGACAGGCCAACGAAAACAACGUUGCAUGCCCGGUCCCGCGCAGAGAUUAAUUGCAGCACCGAACGACCGACUGAGAGGACGAAAAAUAUUCGCGCCGAUAAACGAUAAUCCCCUUAUGCUCGUAAAUUUCUUCGAUAUACCCUGACACACGACUCGAGCUCUCUGUUCCACAGACGGGGGACGGAA